rnacentral:rRNA from 1 species
CCCUUAGAAGUUCUGGGCUGCACGCGCGCGACACUGAUGCGCUCAAGGAGUUUACGACCUUGCCUGGAAAGGUUGGGUAAUCUUCUUAAAAAACAUCGUGAUGGAGCUAGAUUAUUGCAACUAUUAAUCUUCAACGAGGAAUGCCUUGUAAGCGUGAGUCAUCAACUCGCGCUGAAUACGUCCCUGCCCUUUGUACACACCGCCCGUCGCUCCUACCGAUUGGAUGGUCCGGUGAACUGGUCGGACUGAUAAUUGUCACUGCGGGUGCAGUAGCAUUACGGAAAGUCCGGUGAACCUUAUCAUCUAGAGGAAGGAGAAGUCGUAACA